rnacentral:rRNA from 1 species
AGAGUUUGAUCAUGGCUCAGAUUGAACGCUGGCGGCAUGCUUUACACAUGCAAGUCGAACGGUAACAGGCCGCAAGGUGCUGACGAGUGGCGAACGGGUGAGUAAUGCAUCGGAACGUGCCCAGUCGUGGGGGAUAACGCAGCGAAAGCUGCGCUAAUACCGCAUACGAUCUAUGGAUGAAAGCGGGGGACCGUAAGGCCUCGCGCGAUUGGAGCGGCCGAUGUCAGAUUAGGUAGUUGGUGGGGUAAAGGCUCACCAAGCCAACGAUCUGUAGCUGGUCUGAGAGGACGACCAGCCACACUGGGACUGAGACACGGCCCAGACUCCUACGGGAGGCAGCAGUGGGGAAUUUUGGACAAUGGGCGCAAGCCUGAUCCAGCAAUGCCGCGUGCAGGAAGAAGGCCUUCGGGUUGUAAACUGCUUUUGUACGGAACGAAACGGUCCUGGUUAAUACCUGGGGCUAAUGACGGUACCGUAAGAAUAAGCACCGGCUAACUACGUGCCAGCAGCCGCGGUAAUACGUAGGGUGCAAGCGUUAAUCGGAAUUACUGGGCGUAAAGCGUGCGCAGGCGGUUUUGUAAGACAGGCGUGAAAUCCCCGGGCUCAACCUGGGAAUGGCGCUUGUGACUGCAAGGCUGGAGUGCGGCAGAGGGGGAUGGAAUUCCGCGUGUAGCAGUGAAAUGCGUAGAUAUGCGGAGGAACACCGAUGGCGAAGGCAAUCCCCUGGGCCUGCACUGACGCUCAUGCACGAA